rnacentral:misc_RNA from 1 species
CGGCACGGCACCGACUUCCGAUUUCAUCGUCGAUGCUGCCGUGCCACGCCGGUAUCGUGGCCUGUACCGGCAUUCCCCGCGGUCCCAGCAAUUCGCCUCUAAAUCUUCGUUCAGAUUAGUCGAAUUACUUAAAUUCAAACGGCUUGAGUUUAUGUUUAUACGAGUCGAAUUAUUCAACUCGAGGACGUUGACAGGAAGGAAUCUGGGUUUAGGUAAACGACUGGAAUAUUUUGUAGGUUGAUACAUCUCUCUGUACUUUAUAGCUACGGUGGUAGUAUGAAGUGAUAAAAACAGGACAAAG